GUGAAAUGCUGAAUACAACAGGUGUAGUAGACCUCACAGUGAAAUGCUGAAUACAACAGGUGUAGUAGACCUCACAGUGAAAUGCUGAAUACAACAGGUGUAGUAGACCUCACAGUGAAAUGCUGAAUACAACAGGUGUAGUAGACCUCACAGUGAAAUGCUGAAUACAACAGGUGUAGUAGACCUCACAGUGAAAUGCUGAAUACAACAGGUGUAGUAGACCUUACAGUGAAAUGCUGAAUAGGUAGGGGUACCAGGUAGUAGAGGUAAUAUGUACAUGUAGGUAGGGGUACCAGGUAGUUGUAGGUAAUAUAAUGUAGGUAGGGGUACCAGGUAGUAGAGGUAAUAUAAUGUAGGUAGGGGUACCAGGGGUACCAGGUAGUUGAGGUAAUAUGUACAUGUAGGUAGGGGUACCAGGUAGUAGAGGUAAUAUAAUGUAGGUAGGGGUACCAGGUAGUAGAGGUAAUAUAAUGUAGGUAGGGGUACCAGGUAGUUGAGGUAAUAUAAUGUAGGUAGGGGUACCAGGUAGUUGAGGUAAUAUAAUGUAGGUAGGGGUACCAGGUAGUAGAGGUAAUAUAAUGUAGGUAGGGGUACCAGGUAGUUGGGUAGGUAAUAUAAUGUAGGUAGGGGUACCAGGUAGUAGAGGUAAUAUAAUGUAGGUAGGGGUAAAGUGUGUAGACCCCUGUAGAGACGGGAGCUAAUGUAUGACACACACAAAGGCAGACACGCAUACACACACACACACACACACACACACACACACACACACACACACACACACACACACACACACACACAGUACAAUGCAGUGGAAGGAAGCUAGGUCACCAACAGUACAAUGCAGUGGAAGGAAGCUAUGACUCACAGUCAGGGUUGGAGAAUAACUGAUUAUAUGUAAUAUAUUAUGUAAUCAGUUAUGUCAUAAUGUAUGCACUGAACAAAAACAUAAACACAACAUGUAAAGUGUUGGUCCCAUGUUUCAUGAGCUGAAAUAAAAGAUCCCAAAAAUUUUACAUAAGCACAAAAAAUAUCUUGCACAAAUUUGUUUACAUCCCUGUUAGUGAGCAUUUCUCCUUUGCCAAGAUUAUCCAUCCACCUGACAGGUGUGGCAUAUCAAGAAGCUGAUUAAACAGCAUGAUCAUUACACAGGUGCACCUUGGGCUGGGGACAAUAAAAGCCACUCUAAAAUGAGCAGUUUUGUCACACAACACAAUGCCACAGAUGUGUCAGGUUUUGAGGGAGCGUGCAAUUCGUAUACUGACUGCAGGAAUGCCCACCAGAGCUAUUGCCAAAUAAUUGAAUGGUCAUUUCUCUACCAUAAACCGCCUCCAAUGGUGUUUUAGAGCUUUUGCCAGUACAUCCAACCAGCCUCACAACAGUACCAGUCAAAAGCAUUCCAGGUGACUACCUCAAAGAUGGUUGAGAGAAUGCAAAGCUGUCAUCAAGGCUAUUUGAAGUUCGUUUUUUUGGUUACUACAUGAUUCCAUAUGUGUUAUUUCAUAGUUUUGAUGUCUUCACUAUUAUUCUACAAUGUCGAAAAUUGUAAAAAGAAAAGAAAAACCCUGGAAUGAGUAGGUGUGUCCAAACUUUUGACCGGUAGUGUGUGUGUCCCAACAAAGGAGAACUCAUUGAUCUGGUACUCCUUGUACAUAGAGUUGGAGUCGGAAGUUUACAUACACUUAGAUUGGAGUCAUUAAAACUAGUUUUUCAAUAACUUCACAAAGGUCUUGUAAACAAACUAUAGUUUUGGCAAGUCGGUUAGGACAUCUACUUUGUGAAUGACACAAGUAAUUUUUCCAACAAUUGUUUACAGACAGAUUAUUUCACCUAUAAUUCAUUGUAUCACAAUUCCAGUGGGUCAGAGGUUUACAUACACUAAGUUGACUGUGCUUUUAAACAGCUUGGAAGAUUCCAGAAAAUGAUGUCAUGGCUUUAGAAGCUUCUGAUAGGCUAAUUGACAUAAUUUGAGUCAAUUGGAGGUGUACCUGUGGAUGUAUUUCAAGGCCUACCUUCGAACUCAGUGCCUCUUUGCUUGACAUCAUGGGAAAAUCAAAAGAAAUUAGCCAAGACCUCAGAAAAGAA
rnacentral:lncRNA from 1 species